GACGAACGCUGGCGGCGUGCUUAACACAUGCAAGUCGAGCGGUAAGGCCCUUUCGGGGGUACACGAGCGGCGAACGGGUGAGUAACACGUGGGUGACCUGCCUUUAGCUCUGGGAUAAGCCUGGGAAACUGGGUCUAAUACCGGAUACGACUCCGCGGUGCAUGCUGUGGGGCGGAAAGCCUUGUGCGGCUGGAGAUGGGCCCGCGGCCUAUCAGCUUGUUGGUGGGGUGAUGGCCUACCAAGGCGACGACGGGUAGCCGGCCUGAGAGGGCGACCGGCCACACUGGGACUGAGACACGGCCCAGACUCCUACGGGAGGCAGCAGUGGGGAAUCUUGCGCAAUGGGCGAAAGCCUGACGCAGCGACGCCGCGUGA
rnacentral:rRNA from 1 species